rnacentral:rRNA from 1 species
CACGUAGGGGGCGAGCGUUGUCCGGAUUUAUUGGGCGUAAAGAGCUCGUAGGCGGCUCGGUAAGUCAGGUGUGAAAACUCUAGGCUCAACCUAGAGACGCCACCUGAUACUGCUGUGGCUAGAGUCCGGUAGGGGAGCAUGGAAUUCCUGGUGUAGCGGUGAAAUGCGCAGAUAUCAGGAGGAACACCAGUGGCGGAAGGCGGUGCUCUGGGCCGGAACUGACGCUGAGGAGCGAAAGCGUGGGGAGCGAACAGG